rnacentral:rRNA from 1 species
UACGAAGGGGGCUAGCGUUGCUCGGAAUCACUGGGCGUAAAGCGCACGUAGGCGGCUUUCUAAGUCAGGGGUGAAAUCCUGGAGCUCAACUCCAGAACUGCCUUUGAUACUGGAGAGCUUGAGUCCGGAAGAGGGUGAGUGGAACUCCGAGUGUAGAGGUGAAAUUCGUAGAUAUUCGGAAGAACACCAGUGGCGAAGGCGGCUCACUGGUCCGGUACUGACGCUGAGGUGCGAAAGCGUGGGGAGCAACAGGG